rnacentral:rRNA from 1 species
AGAGUUUGAUCCUGGCUCAGGACGAACGCUGGCGGCGUGCCUAAUACAUGCAAGUAGAACGCUGAAGAGAGGAGCUUGCUCUUCUUGGAUGAGUUGCGAACGGGUGAGUAACGCGUAGGUAACCUGCCCUGUAGCGGGGGAUAACUAUUGGAAACGAUAGCUAAUACCGCAUAACAAUGGAUGACACAUGUCAUUUAUUUGAAAGGGGCAAUUGCUCCACUACAAGAUGGACCUGCGUUGUAUUAGCUAGUAGGUGAGGUAAUGGCUCACCUAGGCGACGAUACAUAGCCGACCUGAGAGGGUGAUCGGCCACACUGGGACUGAGACACGGCCCAGACUCCUACGGGAGGCAGCAGUAGGGAAUCUUCGGCAAUGGGGGCAACCCUGACCGAGCAACGCCGCGUGAGUGAAGAAGGUUUUCGGAUCGUAAAGCUCUGUUGUAAGUCAAGAACGGGUGUGAGAGUGGAAAGUUCACACUGUGACGGUAGCUUACCAGAAAGGGACGGCUAACUACGUGCCAGCAGCCGCGGUAAUACGUAGGUCCCGAGCGUUGUCCGGAUUUAUUGGGCGUAAAGCGAGCGCAGGCGGUUUGAUAAGUCUGAAGUUAAAGGCUGUGGCUCAACCAUAGUUCGCUUUGGAAACUGUCAACCUUGAGUGCAGAAGGGGAGAGUGGAAUUCCAUGUGUAGCGGUGAAAUGCGUAGAUAUAUGGAGGAACACCGGUGGCGAAAGCGGCUCUCUGGUCUGUAACUGACGCUGAGGCUCGAAAGCGUGGGGAGCGAACAGGAUUAGAUACCCUGGUAGUCCACGCCGUAAACGAUGAGUGCUAGGUGUUGGAUCCUUUCCGGGAUUCAGUGCCGCAGCUAACGCAUUAAGCACUCCGCCUGGGGAGUACGACCGCAAGGUUGAAACUCAAAGGAAUUGACGGGGGCCCGCACAAGCGGUGGAGCAUGUGGUUUAAUUCGAAGCAACGCGAAGAACCUUACCAGGUCUUGACAUCCCGAUGCUAUUUCUAGAGAUAGAAAGUUACUUCGGUACAUCGGUGACAGGUGGUGCAUGGUUGUCGUCAGCUCGUGUCGUGAGAUGUUGGGUUAAGUCCCGCAACGAGCGCAACCCCUAUUGUUAGUUGCCAUCAUUCAGUUGGGCACUCUAGCGAGACUGCCGGUAAUAAACCGGAGGAAGGUGGGGAUGACGUCAAAUCAUCAUGCCCCUUAUGACCUGGGCUACACACGUGCUACAAUGGUUGGUACAACGAGUUGCGAGUCGGUGACGGCGAGCUAAUCUCUUAAAGCCAAUCUCAGUUCGGAUUGUAGGCUGCAACUCGCCUACAUGAAGUCGGAAUCGCUAGUAAUCGCGGAUCAGCACGCCGCGGUGAAUACGUUCCCGGGCCUUGUACACACCGCCCGUCACACCACGAGAGUUUGUAACACCCGAAGUCGGUGAGGUAACCUUUUGGAGCCAGCCGCCUAAGGUGGGACAGAAGAUUGGGGUGAAGUCGUAACAAGGUA